UCGAAUUUAAAUCAUAAAAAAUAACUUUUUUUUUUUUUAAUUAACUUCAUAGUAUAACCUCAAAUGAUUUAUUUUGUUUCUAUUCUUCAGUUCAAAGUCUUUAUUUUCAUUGAAUCAUUCAAAAAUUUUGAAUACAUUUUACAUUAUGAGUGUGAUAUAGCAGACAUCAGACAAAUUUAAAAUUAUUAAUAAAUCGAGUAAAUCAUUAAUAAAAUAAAGGUAAUUGUUUAGAAGUGGGGCUAACCCAUGUUUAAAUUAGCACAAAUCCAAAAAUAAGCAAAUUGCCAAGAGACCUGUUUCAUUCUCUGGCAUUUUUUGGCGGAUUGACGAUAUAUUUGCUUAAAUUAAGUAUAAAAUAAGCGUCAAUAUUCGAGUGUUUGUAACAGGCUAUAAACAUGAUAUAUUUGAUAUCUUCUUUGAUAUUUUUCAAUGUUCCGUGCUACACUGCACUAUUUGACAUAAUUCUCUUAUUAUUGUAUGUGUUAAUGCUAAAGUUAACCAUCAAAAUUUAAGGUAUGUCACAAGCCAUAAUUUCUGUAGUUUCGUCCUAAGUACGUUAACGGACUCGUCAGUAAGGCUAUGUCAACGUACUCUUGCCUUAGACUACAUCUCUUACAAGUACGAGCCGGCGAAAAACUGUGUUGCGAGCUUCAGCCAGACACUAUACACGGAAAAAAAAUUCGACGAAAAAUUCCAAUAUUACUAUCGUAAUCCUGGACUAUACUUUUAUUAUCUGUAACAUUCAAAUAUAUGAUACGAAAAUUUACAGUUUUUAAAAGAUUUUUUACUAUUCACUAUCGUAAUUUCAUUAAGAGUUUAUUGUAAUCAAUUCAAUAAGAAAUAUUACAAUGUUACUAUCGUAAAUAGUAAAAGAAUAAAAAAUAAGAUUUAAUUAUACUAUUUAUUCUUUUAUUCUUCCUUUUAAUUUACAGUGCUGCCUCUAUGUUUUUACAAUACAAGCUACAAAAAUUACGAUAGUUGGAUUGUAAAUUUUCUGAAAUGGUAUAGUAUAUGCCAUCUGAAGCGUUUACGUAUGAAAGACAAGUGUUGUCACAAACCAUGAUGUGAUGCUUGUAUGAGUGUAUAUAUAUAUAUAUAAAUACAAAUGAUGACAUCUACUUUGUCUGUAUUAUUUGUGGUUCAACUAUAUAUAUUUAUAAAUCAGUUCAUCUUUAUCCACAGUGUAGUGCAGAAAUAGAGGUUAUUAUUCAUGACGUUUUUCGGACAAUUGUAAAUAAGAAAUUUAAAAUAAAAACUGUACUUUCGUCAUUACAAACCUACAUAGAUUGUGGAAUAUAAUAAUUUGGUGGUGAUAAUCUUCAUUUGUCGACAAUGAAUAAUUUUACCCGGCUUUGCGAGAGGUAAAACAUUUCAAUAACCUCAAAUUAUGGACAUUCAACAUUUCUUUAUGAUACUGAAGUUAGCAGACGCCUAAUAAUUUUUGGAUUUUUUUAAAAAUGAUAAAUUAUAGAAAAAAAGUAUUCGAAAAAAUUGCACCUAUGGUUUUUUUAAUUUUCUACAUGUGCGUAUUUUGAAUACAAAUAAAUGAGUUAUUUAUUCAUAAAUUUUAUAUAUACCAAAAAAAUAUGUUUGAAAAAAUAUUAAAUAAAUGUUUUAUUAUUACUACUUCAA